rnacentral:rRNA from 1 species
GACGAACGCUGGCGGCGUGCUUAACACAUGCAAGUCGAACGGAAAGGCCCUGCUUGCAGGGUACUCGAGUGGCGAACGGGUGAGUAACACGUGGGUGAUCUGCCCUGCACUUCGGGAUAAGCCUGGGAAACUGGGUCUAAUACCGGAUAGGAGCCAUUUUUAGUGUGAUGGUUGGAAAGUUUUUUCGGUGUAGGAUGAGCUCGCGGCCUAUCAGCUUGUUGGUGGGGUAAUGGCCUACCAAGGCGGCGACGGGUAGCCGGCCUGAGAGGGUGGACGGCCACAUUGGGACUGAGAUACGGCCCAGACUCCUACGGGAGGCAGCAGGGGGGAAUAUUGCACAAUGGGCGCAAGCCGGAUGCAGCGACGCCGCGGGGGGGAGGACGGCCUUCGGGUUGGAAACUCCUUUCGCUAGGGACGAAGCUUUUUGUGACGGUACCUAGAUAAGAAGCACCGGCUAACUACGUG